rnacentral:rRNA from 1 species
UUGGUUCUCUUUGACGAGCGGCGGACGGGUGAGUAAUGUAUGUGGAACUGUGCCCGAUAGAGGGGGAUAACUACUUGGCAAAGGAGUGGCUAAUACCGCAUAAUCUCUCUGGAGCAAAGCGGGGGAUCUUCGGUCCUCUCGCUAUAGGAUGAACCCAUAUGGGAUUAGCUAGUAGGUGGGGUAAAGGCUCACCUAGGCGACGAUCCCUAGCUGGUCUGAGAGGAUGAUCAGCCACACUGGGACUGAGACACGGCCCAGACUCCUACGGGAGGCAGCAGUGGGGAAUAUUGCACAAUGGGGGCAAGCCUGAUGCAGCCAUUCCGCGUGUAUGAAGAAGGCCUUAGGGUUGUAAAGUACUUUCAGCAGGGAGGAAGGGGUUGAGGCUAAUAUCAUCAACGAUUGACGUUACCUGCAGAAGAAGCACCGGCUAACUCCGUGCCAGCAGCCGCGGUAAUACGCAGGGUGCAAGCGUUAAUCGGAAUUACUGGGCGUAAAGCGCGCGCAGGCGGUCAGUAAAGUUAGAUGUGAAAUCCCCGGGCUCAACCUGGGAACUGCAUUUAUGACUGGCCAGCUAGAGUCUUGUAGAGGGGGGUAGAAUUCCAGGUGUAGCAGUGAAAUGCGUAGAAAUGUGGAGGAAUACCG